rnacentral:rRNA from 2 species
GACGGGGGAUGCAAGUGUUAUCCGGAAUCACUGGGCGUAAAGCGUCUGCAGGUGGUUUCCUAAGUCCACUGUUAAACCUUGAGGCUCAACCUCAAAUCUGCAGUGGAAACUAGGGAACUUGAGGAUAGUAGGGGUAGAGGGAAUUUCCAGUGGAGCGGUGAAAUGCGUAGAUAUUGGAAAGAACACCGAUGGCGAAGGCACUCUACUGGGCUAUGACUGACACUCAGAGACGAAAGCUAGGGGAGCAAAUGGG